AUUGAACGCUGGCGGCAGGCUUAACACAUGCAAGUCGAGCGGGGGAAGGUAGCUUGCUACCGGACCUAGCGGCGGACGGGUGAGUAAUGCUUAGGAAUCUGCCUAUUAGUGGGGGACAACAUCUCGAAAGGGAUGCUAAUACCGCAUACGUCCUACGGGAGAAAGCAGGGGAUCUUCGGACCUUGCGCUAAUAGAUGAGCCCAAGUCGGAUUAGCUAGUUGGUGGGGUAAAGGCCUACCAAGGCGACGAUCUGUAGCGGGUCUGAGAGGAUGAUCCGCCACACUGGGACUGAGACACGGCCCAGACUCCUACGGGAGGCAGCAGUGGGGAAUAUUGGACAAUGGGGGGAACCCUGAUCCAGCCAUGCCGCGUGUGUGAAGAAGGCCUUAUGGUUGUAAAGCACUUUAAGCGAGGAGAAGGCUACUUUAGUUAAUACCUAGAGAUAGUGGACGUUACUCGCAGAAUAAGCACCGGCUAACUCCGUGCCAGCCGCCGCAGUAA
rnacentral:rRNA from 1 species